UACGUAGGUCCCGAGCGUUGUCCGGAUUUAUUGGGCGUAAAGCGAGCGCAGGUGGUUUAUUAAGUCUGGUGUAAAAGGCAGUGGCUCAACCAUUGUAUGCAUUGGAAACUGGUAGACUUGAGUGUAGGAGAGGAGAGUGGAAUUCCAUGUGUAGCGGUGAAAUGCGUAGAUAUAUGGAGGAACACCGGUGGCGAAAGCGGCUCUCUGGGCCGUCACUGACGCUGAGGCGCGAAAGCUGGGGGAGCGAACAGG
rnacentral:rRNA from 1 species